GGGCCUACCCCAUUUAAGACAUCUGCUUGCCAGAUCAGGCAUCAGAGUCACAGGUUGACUAUGUGCUCGAUGCCAGAAGAUCAGAAACCAAGAAUAUUGGGACAAUUGGCACUACCAACUUAAAACGGCAAGACUUCCAGUCACUUGGUUUGCAGCACAACUUGGAAGCGACAAUUGCCAACAGCUGCAUGGAGCUCAUUUGUGACAUGGCCUGGUGGAAGAAGAAGGAUGUGUAUGCACCGGAUGCCUAUGUCGUUGCCACUUGGCAUGCACCAAGUUUUCCAGGACACUUUUCUUAAUUUACAGGCUGAUGCAGCAUCAAAAGAUCUCCUGAUUUUUCCUGUGUGGAAACCAGGACACUGGUUCCUCUGUAGCACCAUGGCAAGAAUCGAUGAAGCAGUAUGCUGGAUACGGGUCAACAUGUCUCUUUUCCGUGGACAUGUUGAACUGCCCAGCAUAUUGUCCAUGACAGCAGAGGAUCGACAGCAGUUUUUUCAGAACAUCGCCAAUGAUGACGACAUCCAUGAUUCAAGAGAAUGCCUCCUUUUUGUUUUUGAAUAUCAAGAAGAUUACACAGUUUUUUUUUUAUUCUUGUUCAGCUGUGUCGGCAAUGUUUAACACCCCUACCCUUUCCCCUUAGCCAGAGGACAGGCACCACCCCUGGCCUAUCUAUCUAAUCUUUAAUUGUUGUUGUUAUGUUGACUUUUAUUUGUGAAAAAUACAUUUAUUUUUGGAUAAACUUGUUUGGACUUAUUGUAAAAACCUAUUUAACCCCUAUACUAUGUUGAAAAAAUAUAUUGAUUAUGUUGCGGGUCAUUUUGACCCGUACUAUGUAAAUGAAUGCAAAACAGUCACAAAAACAGGUUAAACCAAUAAACAAUUAAUAAUAUUAUUAUUGCAUACAAUACAAUUUUAAUUAAUAAAUACUUUAUUUAAUAGCUAUUUUGUGUGGGUGUUUUCCCUCAUCACAAACACGUUUCGCAAUAUUACUGUGUACCUUCUGCAGAUGUAAUUCUUACAUUUCACACAUCAUCAAUAUGACCGGGAGUCAUAUUGAUGAUGGCAGUCUGCCUCGACUUUGAUGUGGUGAUGUGUAGAGUGUUUUA